rnacentral:tRNA from 2 species
GGAUUUGCAAUCCUCUGCCUUACCACUUGGCCAUAUCGCCAUUUAUUUUUUAUUUAAAAAACUUAAAA